rnacentral:rRNA from 1 species
CCCUUAGACGUUCUGGGCCGCACGCGCGCUACACUGACCAGUGCAACAAGCAUCCGUCCUUGGCCGACAGGCUCGGGCAAUCUUUGAACGCUGGUCGUGAUGGGGAUAGACUUUUGCAAUUUUUGGUCUUCAACGAGGAAUUCCUAGUAAACGCAAGUCAUCAACUUGCAUUGAUUACGUCCCUGCCCUUUGUACACACCGCCCGUCGCACCUACCGAUUGAUUGGUCCGGUGAAGCCUCCGGAUUGGCGCGCACCUCGGUGCCGCCGAGAAGUUGGCUAAACCUUACCAUUUAGAGGAAGGUGAAGUCGUAACA